UAGGGCUUGUUGUUUUCGUUUUCAUGCAUGUCUAAGGUUGAAGACGAAGUGGUGGCAGUAUGUGAUUGAUGGUUUUGUUCUUUUGUCUUUUUGUGUUUAAGUUAAAGUGACCGCUUGAUAUCUGUUUACAUGUUAAAAUGUUACAUCCCACCUUUUAUUCCUUUUUUUUACCUGAUGCUGGUUUGGACUGGGCCACACGCGCUCAUGCUUUCCCCACCCCAUUGUUCUGGCCCAAUUUUCUUUUUCCACUAAAUGGCUUUGUAUUACAUUUACUUAUCUGCACUCCCUUUCUUUCUCACUUAUUUUUAUUAUGCCAUUUUAUUUAAUUCUAUUUAAAAUACUUCUCUUAGGCCAAAAAUUCUGAAUUAAUUUAUGAGGGAUAUUUGAAAUGUUAUUUAAUUUUUCAUAUUUUUCAUUUUCUUUUUUAAUUUAUUUUAAUAUUUAUCUCGUUUUUUAAUUAUAUGUGUCUAUUUAGGCUAGUUUACUUUGUUAGGGUUUGAUUUUUAAUUUUCCCAUUUUAGUUUUGACCCAAUACACUUGUAGACACAUGUAUAUAGGUCAUUUGAGCUUCCAUUUUUGCUUUGGUUGUUAAUUUUGAGUCAAAUUUGAACCUAUU
rnacentral:lncRNA from 1 species